rnacentral:lncRNA from 10 species
AGCCCAUGAGGGGAAGGGGAGGCACCUGGGGAAAAGCAAAACAAAAAACAAAAAACAAAACAACAACAACAACAAAAAAACGCCGCGGAGAAGCAGAGCCUGGGUCCCCAAGGAAGAAAGUGUCUUCCCAUCAGCCCUUGCGCUGGGCCCCGGGGAACCUAGUGUCCCAGUUUCGAACCCAGGGUGUGCGUCUGGCCACUAGGGGUACCCCAAGUCGGAC